rnacentral:rRNA from 1 species
CCUACGGGAGGCUGCAGUGGGGAAUAUUGGACAAUGGGGGGAACCCUGAUCCAGCCAUGCCGCGUGUGUGAAGAAGGCCCUCGGGUUGUAAAGCACUUUCAGUGAGGAAGAACGCCUGGUGGUUAAUACCCAUCAGGAAAGACAUCACUCACAGAAGAAGCACCGGCUAACUCCGUGCCAGCAGCCGCGGUAAUACGGAGGGUGCGAGCGUUAAUCGGAAUUACUGGGCGUAAAGCGCGCGUAGGUGGCUUGAUAAGCCGGUUGUGAAAGCCCCGGGCUCAACCUGGGAACGGCAUCCGGAACUGUCAAGCUAGAGUGCAGGAGAGGAAGGUAGAAUUCCCGGUGUAGCGGUGAAAUGCGUAGAGAUCGGGAGGAAUACCAGUGGCGAAGGCGGCCUUCUGGACCGACACUGACACUGAGGUGCGAAAGCGUGGGUAGCAAACAGGAUUAGAUACCCGAGUAGUC